rnacentral:rRNA from 1 species
GUCUAUGGCCAUACCACCCUGAAUGCGCCCGAUCUCGUCAGAUCUCGGAAGCUAAGCAGGGUCGGGCCUGGUUAGUACUUGGAUGGGAGCAAGAGAAAGGUUAACCAACUAUAAACC